rnacentral:rRNA from 1 species
UACGGGGGGGGCAAGCGUUGUUCGGAAUUACUGGGCGUAAAGGGCGCGUAGGCGGCUUUUCAAGUCGGGCGUGAAAUCUCCGGGCUUAACCCGGAAGGGUCGUUCGAUACUGUUGAGCUAGAGUGUGGAAGAGGCAACUAGAAUUCCGUGUGUAGCGGUGAAAUGCGUAGAUAUACGGAGCAAUACCUGAGGCGAAGGCGGGUUGCUGGGCCAACACUGACGCUGAGGCGCGAAAGCGUGGGGAGCGAACAGG